rnacentral:rRNA from 1 species
AACGAACGCUGGCGGCAUGCCUAACACAUGCAAGUCGAGCGCCCGUAGCGAUACGGGAGCGGCGCACGGGUGAGUAACGCGUGGGAACCUGCCCAGAGGUUCGGGACAACCGCGGGAAACUGCGGCUGAUACCGGAUGAUGCCUGAGGGCCAAAGAUUUAUCGCCUUUGGAGGGGCCCGCGUCGGAUUAGGUAGUUGGUGGGGUAACGGCCUACCAAGCCUGUGAUCCGUAACUGGUCUGAGAGGAUGACCAGUCACACCGGGACUGAGACACGGCCCAGACUCCUACGGGGAGGCAGCAGUGGGGAGUAUUGGACAAUGGGGGCAAGCCCUGAUCCAGCAAUGCCGCGUGGGUGAUGAAGGCCUUCGGGUUGUAAAGCCCUUUCGGCGGGGACGAUGAUGACGGUACCCGCAGAAGAAGCCCCGGCUAACUUCGUGCCAGCAGCCGCGGUAAGUACGAAGGGGGCUAGCGUUGUUCGGAAUGACUGGGCGUAAAGGGCGCGUAGGCGGCGGCUUUAGUCAGGCGUGAAAGCCCUGGGCUUAACCUGGGAACUGCGUUUGAUACUGGGUCGCUUGAGUGUGGGAGAGGAUGGUGGAAUUCCCCAGUGUAGAGGUGAAAUUCGUAGAUAUUGGGAAGAACACCGGUGGCGAAGGCGGCCAUCUGGACCACUACUGACGCUGAGGCGCG